AUCGCAGUCAGCGACCCGAGUAGCUCCGACUUAAUAGUACUCUUAUAUCAUGAGUUUGACAAGAGUGGAUGGGAAAUCGUAGCUUCGUCAUAAUCCAAUGCCACCUGGGCACAAUAGAGGGCCUAAUCUGUGGAAAUUUCGACAGCCGCGUCCUUAGAAAGUAUUCUCGAGGUCGCCGUUUGGAAAUUCACGUGGAAGAAGCGGUGCGAAACUUUCUUUAAGGAUUUUUUUCCAAGCAAAUAAGAUUUUUACGAAUAAUUUCGAAUGAUACAGACAUUCCGAGGGACUCAUAAUUUUUUACAAUCGCGUUUAAGAUCUCAUUUCACGUGGAUAUUUAACUCUUGGCCUAAUUAAAACAUGAAAUCGAACAUGCAUUCGAAAGUCCACGUAUGCAUUCGUAACCAUCGUUAUUGUCUAUUUGCGAUCGCGGCGAGUGCCGUGGAGAAGAAAAGAGGAGGAGGGGCCUUGGCCGCGGGGCCCCGGGACGGCGUGAUACAUCCGAUCGCGCUCUCCCAUCCGUUUUUCACUCGCCCGACCGGCUGGCUGCCUGGCUGCGGCCCGUACGAUCUCGCGGGAUACCGAUCUGCGUAUUUCGAUACCUUCUCGGGCUGGACAUAAAUAGAAAACCCGGCGUCUCUCGCGGAUGAAAAUGAUGAUCGCCGGCCUCCCCGCCUCCGCUUUCAAAGACCGCAUUGAUGAUUUUCCGUCGCUGUAGCGUCUUGAACGACACAUACUCGGUUUCAUCGUGCGGAGAAAACUUGAGAGCCACGCUUUACAACGCUUAUUCAUUACUUUCACUCGACGAGAGAAUAGAAGCAUCAUUUUCCCUGUCUGAAAUGUUUAGUUACUUGAGACUCAAGUAUUUCCUGGCGUUUCCUGACAUUGAUAAAGUUCGAUUAAUUAACAUAAUUAAUGCAGCAGCUGAUUUAGUAUACAUCAGACAGAUAUGUAAACUUCGCAGCACGAGUGUUGUUUUCGAUUUUUUUUUUUUUUUUUUUUUUAAAUUGAAUCCGGAUUUAUCCGCGAUGGGGCCGCUUUGUGGCGAACCAGGGCGUAACGACAAAUAACGGCUGAUUAUACUUGCGCUAUAUUCGCUAUAUUAUAAUUGUAAGUGCAUCGCAGAUCUGUCGGUUUGACGCGAUUCGCUGGCGGCAGGACAGGACGUGCACGAUUAAAUCGCGCGGGCUGUAAUUACGGGGGUCCUUUGAUGCCUGUGACAGCGAUUCCUCGCGCUCUUACGCAACACGCGACGUAUUAAUAAUUAAG